GUAGUUUGAUCAUGGCUCAGGACGAACGCUGGCGGCGUGCCUAAUACAUGCAAGUCGAGCGAAUCACCGGGAGCUUGCUCUCGGCGAUUAGCGGCGGACGGGUGAGUAACACGUGGGCAACCUGCCUGUAAGACUGGGAUAACUUCGGGAAACCGGAGCUAAUGCCGGAUCAAUCUUUUCCUCGCAUGAGGAAAAGCUAAAAGACGGUUUCGGCUGUCACUUACAGAUGGGCCCGCGGCGCAUUAGCUAGUUGGUGAGGUAACGGCUCACCAAGGCGACGAUGCGUAGCCGACCUGAGAGGGUGAUCGGCCACACUGGGACUGAGACACGGCCCAGACUCCUACGGGAGGCAGCAGUAGGGAUCUCCCGCAAUGGACG
rnacentral:rRNA from 1 species